rnacentral:rRNA from 1 species
GACGAACGCUGGCGGCGUGCCUAAUACAUGCAAGUCGAACGCAGUGGGGACGGGUGAGUAACACGUGGGUAACCUCCCAUCAGAGGGGAUAACACUUGGAAACAGGUGCUAAACCGAUACUGAUGGAUGGACCCGCGGUGCAUGAGCUAGGUGGUGAGGUAACGGCUCACCAGGGCCACGAUGCAUAGCCGACCUGGGAGGGGGAUCGGCCACCCUGGAACUGAGACACGGCCCAGACUCCUCCGUGAGGCAGCAGUAGGGAAUCUUCGGCAAUGGACGAAAGUCUGACCAAGCAAUGCCGCGUGCGUGAAGAAGGUUUUCGGGUCGUAAACCUCUGGUGUUAGAGAAGCGGUAUCUAACCAGAAAGCCACGGCUAACUACGUGCCAGCCGCCGCGGUAAUAC